rnacentral:rRNA from 1 species
GGAUUAGCUGAGAGGUGGUGCAUGGCCGUCGUCAGUUCGUACUGUGAAGCAUCCUGUUAAGUCAGGCAACGAGCGAGACCCACGCCCACAGUUGCCAGCGUACUCUCCGGAGUGACGGGUACACUGUGGGGACCGCCGCUGCUAAAGCGGAGGAAGGAAUGGGCAACGGUAGGUCAGUAUGCCCCGAAUAUCCCGGGCUACACGCGAGCUACAAUGGUUGGUACAAUGGGUAUCUACCCCGAGAGGGGAUGGAAAUCUCCUAAAACCAAUCUCAGUCCGGAUUGAGGGCUGCAACUCGCCCUCAUGAAGCUGGAAUCCGUAGUAAUCGCGUUUCAACAGAACGCGGUGAAUACGUCCCUGCUCCUU